rnacentral:tRNA from 1 species
GCCUGGCUGGCUCCGUUCGUAGAGCUUGAGACUCUCAGUUUCAAGGUCGUGAGUUCAAGCCCCACAUUGGGCA